rnacentral:rRNA from 1 species
UACGUAGGUGGCAAGCGUUGUCCGGAAUUAUUGGGCGUAAAGCGCGCGCAGGCGGUCCUUUAAGUCUGAUGUGAAAGCCCUCGGCUCAACCGAGGAGGGUCAUUGGAAACUGGAGGACUUGAGUGCAGAAGAGGAAAGUGGAAUUCCAAGUGUAGCGGUGAAAUGCGUAGAGAUUUGGAGGAACACCAGUGGCGAAGGCGACUUUCUGGUCUGUAACUGACGCUGAGGCGCGAAAGCGUGGGGAGCGAACAGG